GUGGGGAAUAUUGGACAAUGGGCGCAAGCCUGAUCCAGCCAUGCCGCGUGAGUGAUGAAGGCCUUAGGGUUGUAAAGCUCUUUCAGUAGGGAAGAUAAUGACGGUACCUACAGAAGAAGCCCCGGCUAACUUCGUGCCAGCAGCCGCGGUAAUACGAAGGGGGCUAGCGUUGUUCGGAUUUACUGGGCGUAAAGCGCACGUAGGCGGAUUGGUCAGUUAGAGGUGAAAUCCCGAAGCUCAACUUCGGAACUGCCUUUAAUACUGCCAGUCUCGAGUCCGGAAGAGGUGAGUGGAACUCCUAGUGUAGAGGUGGAAUUCGUAGAUAUUAGGAAGAACACCAGUGGCGAAGGCGGCUCACUGGUCCGGUACUGACGCUGAGGUGUGAAAGCGUGGGGAGCAAACAGGAUUAGAAACCCCGGUAGUCC
rnacentral:rRNA from 1 species